AGCAGCCGCGGUAAUUCCAGCUCCAAUAGCGUAUAUUAAAGUUGUUGCAGUUAAAAAGCUCGUAGUUGAAUUUCGGGACCAAUUUGUUGGUCGUGCCUCGGUACGUACUGGUAUUAUUGGUUUCUCCCUUCUGAAGAACCAUGAUGCCAUUAAUUUGGUGUCGUGGGGAAUCAGGACUGUUACUUUGAAAAAAUUAGAGUGUUUAAAGCAGGCAUACGCUUGAAUACAUUAGCAUGGAAUAAUGAAAUAGGACGUUUGAUUCUAUUUUGUUGGUUUCUAGGAUCGACGUAAUGAUUAAUAGGGAUAGUUGGGGGCAUUAGUAUUCAAUUGUCAGAGGUGAAAUUCUUGGAUUUAUUGAAGACUAACUACUGCGAAAGCAUUUGCCAAGGAUGUUUUCAUUAAUCAAGAACGAAAGUUAGGGGAUCGAAGACGAUCAGAUACCGUCGUAGUCUUAACCAUAAACUAUGC
rnacentral:rRNA from 1 species